rnacentral:lncRNA from 1 species
UCGGAUGCCUUGGGAUAACCCUUGUACUCCAAUUUGAGAUUCAAGCUAGCACAAAUAACCCUAAAUUUGAGGCGCAGAGCAUCCAUGGCGUCGGAGACGGACUCGUUUUCCGGCUCGAGCAUUGGGUAAUUCCGAAGCAAUUCAUCCAUCUAGGGCUGGGAAUUUCGGGAUCGGGUAAUCGGGUACCCGAUACCCGACCCAAAAAAAUCGGGUAUCGGGUACCCUAUACCCGAUUAAUUCGGGAUCGGGUACGGGAUCGGGUAUUUAGGGGUCGAAAUAAUCGGGUAUCGGGUAUACCCGAUCGGAUAUCGGGUAUACCUGAAUUACCCGAUAUUUUAAUUAAUAAAUUUUAAACUAUUUAAUUAAAUUAAAUAUGAAAUCUAAAUCAAAACUAAACCCUCCCUCCCGCCCCUGUGUUCUGUUCUGUUAUAUGGUAUAUAUCUAGUGCUCUUAUGGUUUCCACCAUUCUUUCUCAUAGGCCAAGCAGCAUCUCUCCUUGUUGUGCUUGGGAGAGAUAGGCAGGAGAAAAGAUUUGAGUUCUCAUGACCACAUAGAGAAUAUUGUUAUCGAGUCUUUCCAGUCCCCAUUUGAAGAAAUUAAAUCUGCUGCAUCUUAUGCUCUGGGAAACAUUGCUGUGGGGAAUCUGCCUAAAUAUUUGCCUUUCAUCUUGGACAAAAUUGAUAAUCAACAAAAGAAGCAAUAUCUGUUGCUCCAUUCUCUGAAGGAGGUGCUUUCCUCUUCUUAGAUUUGUGCAUUUCAGAGAUGUUGGACAGCGUCGUUCACAUUUAAAAAAUAGGGUAUUUCGGGUAUUAGGGUACCCUAAUAUCAAAAUCGGGUAAUUCGGGUACCCUAAUACCCGAAAUACCCGAUUUACACAGUUGACUUGGAAGAGAUAAUUUUGACCGGGUAAUUUAGGGUACCCGAAUACCCCCGAGUCGGGUAUGAGGGUACCCGAUUUCAAUUUCGGGGUCGGGGUCGGGUAUAGGGUUUAGGGGAUUUUCGGGUUCGGGUACCCGAUUUUUUCGGGUAGGGUACCCGAACCCGACCCGAUUCCCAACCCUACAUCCAUCUGCUUGAUUGUCUUCUGAAUUCGGGCAGACAUGAAAUUCAGGUCGGCCCGGAUGGCGGAGCUCCAGACGGUGACGCAGCCGCGGUAAAAGCCCAAUUCAUCGCCCGUUUCGAACCCGGUUUUCAGCCCGACUUGUUGGC